GGCCCCUAAAUAAAUUUGUGUACUAGUCAAAAAGGUUGUAACACUAAACUGAACACGACAGGUGCCACAUUUGGAACAGGAUCUGUCUACCCUUUCGAAGCACCUGUAAUCUCCUGCAGUUUUUGGUGGGGUUCGUGUUGUUGUUGUUUCACUAUUUGUGACAUCUUCUUCACGCAUCGUAGUCAUAUAUUGAAAUUUGAUGAGACUGGCGUACAAGUGAGAGGUUUAACGCUAUAAAACCAGGUUCAACCCACCAUUGUCUACAUUUGAAAAUGCC
rnacentral:lncRNA from 1 species